rnacentral:sRNA from 1 species
AUGGAGGCAUUUAAACUGGGACUGAGAUGGGACUGAGUGAUUAAAUUGCUACCAAUGUUAGUUUUAAGAGUUGAAAAGCUUAAUAGUAAAUUUUAAUAAGCCCAUGAACUUGAUUAUGGCUACCUUUAUUUUAAACAAGGAGACCUUAAUGGACAGAAUCAAGAAACAGCUACGUGAAUGGGAUGAAAAUCUAAAAGAUGAUUCUCUUCCUUCAAAUCCAAUAGAUUUUUCUUACAGAGUAGCUGCUUGUCUUCCUAUUGAUGAUGUAUUGAGAAUUCAGCUCCUUAAAAUUGGCAGUGCUAUCCAACGACUUCGCUGUGAAUUAGACAUUAUGAAUAAAUGUACUUCCCUUUGCUGUAAACAAUGUCAAGAAACAGAAAUAACAACCAAAAAUGAAAUAUUCAGUUUAUCCUUAUGUGGGCCGAUGGCAGCUUAUGUGAAUCCUCAUGGAUAUGUGCAUGAGACACUUACUGUGUAUAAGGCUUGCAACUUGAAUCUGAUAGGCCGGCCUUCUACAGAACACAGCUGGUUUCCUGGGUAUGCCUGGACUGUUGCCCAGUGUAAGAUCUGUGCAAGCCAUAUUGGAUGGAAGUUUACGGCCACCAAAAAAGACAUGUCACCUCAAAAAUUUUGGGGCUUAACGCGAUCUGCUCUGUUGCCCACGAUCCCAGACACUGAAGAUGAAAUAAGUCCAGACAAAGUAAUACUUUGCUUGUAAACAGA